UAGUCCUGUAGCUCAGUUUGGUUAGAGCACUACACUGAUAAUGUAGGGGUCUGCAGUUCAAAUCUGCACAGGACUACCCA
rnacentral:tRNA from 1 species